UUAGCAUAGAGCAGAGUCUGCUCCUUAAUGCAUCCCUGGAUCAUAGCAGACUCUGCCUAUAGAGGCCUGGGGUCCCUUUGGCAGCACUUUUCUCAAGAAAGUAGAGUCGUGGACAACCAACUGCACAGGUUGGGAGGCUUUGAAGAACAAGCUGCCAUGAAUCCUGCAGCUACAAGGAAAUGAACUCUAUUAACUUGAGUGAGCUUAAAACUAGAUCCUUCCCCAGUCAAGCCUCCAGGUGAGAAUUCAAUCCUGGCUGGCACCUGGAUUGCAGCUUACAGAAGACCCAGCUAAGGCCAUGUCUGGACUUUAAAUCCACAGGAACUGCAAGAUGGUAUCAGAAGUGGGACCUGCAGUGGGGCAUCUAGCAACCCCCAGGAGCAUUGAGUGACCAGGCUUGGGACCCACCGGGCGCAGGGUGUCCAUUGUUCUCUCGAAGCAACUGAGAAUUGUGGAUAUUCUUCAUUAUUCCAUCAUCAUCUCAAACCUCUUGGGUAUAGUGUUUGACUACUACUGUGACCAUAAAUUCCAAUAAAACCUAGGAAAAAUGAAACCACUACAUUAACUGAAAGGGAAGGAUUUGACAGCUUCUUUUGGGCAUAUCAGAAUCGCCAGCAUCACUACUCUUGCACUGUGCGGCCAUUAUUAAGUGAAAUAAGGAUUACUUGAACACAAGCACUGCAAUGCCGCUACAGUCAAUGUGAUAACCCAGCUGGUGACUAAGUGACCAAGGACGGGGAGUAUCUACAGCGGGGAGACUCUGGAAAAAGGGAGGAUUCACAUCCAGUGCCACUGGGGCAGGGCAGAAUGAGAGUUCAUCAUGCUACAAAGAAUGGCACAGAAUAUACGACUUGUGAGUGGAUUAUCUCUGGAAUUUUCUGUUGACUACAUUUGUACUACAGUUGUAUGUGGGUAACAAACUGUGGAAAGUGAAACUUCGGGUAAGGGGGAGGCUACCGUAGAUAGCCCAGUAUUUCUUAUUUUGUGGAUUUGUUUAUCUUUCUGCUCACAUCCUUUUCCUUCUGCAUUACCAUUUUAGUAAAAAUAGAUAGCAUCCAUUUGGUGUUUAGUAUGUUUUUGGCACAGUCGAACAUUUUACAAACAUUAUAUCAUUUAAUCUGCAUAAAACCUAUACAGUAGGUACAACUAUUAUCCAGUUUUUUAGACAAGGCAAACUGGAUCACAGGGAGUUCAAAACGCCUCUUCCCUUGGUCAAGUUGGGUCAUGUAAUUGUCAAAGUUAAAACAUGCCCCUUAGGAGAUGAUUUAAAAUUCCCUAAUUUUUUAGAAGAAUCUUCAGUUUUCCCAGGAUAGAACAUUUAUUGAUAUGGUAAAUAUGUGGAAAGACCCACCAACCCCACUCCAAUCUUACAUUCUUGCCAUUAAAAAACAAACAUAAAGACUGUUCCCUAUGUUUUUUUCUUUAAAAUGUAUUCUAG
rnacentral:lncRNA from 1 species